rnacentral:rRNA from 1 species
GACGUAGGGCGCGAGCGUUGUCCGGAUUUAUUGGGCGUAAAGAGCUCGUAGGCGGCUUGUCGCGUCGACUGUGAAAACCCGCGGCUCAACUGCGGGCUUGCAGUCGAUACGGGCAGGCUAGAGUUCGGUAGGGGAGACUGGAAUUCCUGGUGUAGCGGUGAAAUGCGCAGAUAUCAGGAGGAACACCGAUUGCGAAGGCAGCUCGCUGGGACGUUACUGACGCUGAGACGCGAAAGCGUGGGGAGCAAACAGG